rnacentral:miRNA from 1 species
UAUGGGAAAAGCAGGUGAAA